GGAUGAGUUAGGAUGGUGAUAGAAACUCUAAUAGUGCUUUGAGUUAAGUGAUAGAGGAUUUAGAGUUUGGAGUUGGAGGUUUUAGGAUUAAAAGAGCAUGCAGGUACAGUAACUACUUCGUUUGCCGAAACCUCCUCUUCCGACUACCCAAGUCCUUUUUUUACCGAAGGUAUAAAAAGGUGCUAGGACGGACAAAAAUGUAUGAAAAUACAUUUUCUUCCUCUGUUUUGGUAACUAUGAGACCCAAAAUUCUUGUUUCUCUUCUUCUUUUACCUUUAAAGUGAAUUUGUGAUCAAUUGAAUUUCUUUUUUUU
rnacentral:misc_RNA from 1 species